UACGAAGGGGGCUAGCGUUGUUCGGAAUCACUGGGCGUAAAGCGCACGCAGGCGGAUCGAUAAGUCGGGGGUGAAAGCCCGGGGUUCAACCUAGGAAUUGCCUUCGAUACUGUCGGUCUCGAGUCCGGGAGAGGUGAGUGGAAUUCCUAGUGUAGAGGUGAAAUUCGUAGAUAUUAGGAAGAACACCAGUGGCGAAGGCGGCUCUCUGGCCCGGUACUGACGCUCAGGUGCGAAAGCGUGGGGAGCAAACAGG
rnacentral:rRNA from 1 species